UGGUAGUGACGAAAAAUAACAAUGCGGGACUCUUCCGAGUCUGCGUAAUUGGAAUGAGCACACUUUAAAUCCUUUAGCAACAACCAAUUGGAGGGCAAGUCUGGUGCCAGCAGCCGCGGUAAUUCCAGCUCCAAUAGCGUAUAUUAAAGUUGUUGCGGUUAAAAAGCUCGUAGUUCGAGGUCAGUUGCGGACUGUAGUGGGAGGUCACCGCCCGGUGCUUCCCCUGUAGGCUCCGAACAGCUUCUUUAAUUGGAAGCCAAGCCGGUUCUGGCGGGGUGCUCUUUACCGAGUGUCCCGCACGGCCGGCCAGUUCACCUUGAAUAAAUGAGAGUGCUCAAAGCAGGCUACUCUGGAAUACAAUGCCCGAAUGUUACCUGCAUGGAAUGAUGGAAGAUGAUCUCGGUUCCAUUUUGUUGGUUUAGGGAGCCAGAGGUAAUGAUAAAGAGGGACUGUCGGGGGCAUCCGUACUACGACGCGAGAGGUGAAAUUCAGUGACCGUCGUAGGACGAACAACAGCGAAAGCAUUUGCCAAGAAUGUCUUCGUUGAUCAAGAACGAAAGUUAGAGGAUCGAAGGCGAUCAGAUACCGCCCUAGUUCUAACCCUAAACGAUGCUGACUAGCAAUUCGCCGUCGUUAUUCCCAUGACGUGGCGAGACGCCCCCGGGAAACCUCAAGUUUUUGAGUUCCGGGGGUAGUAUGGUUGCAAAAGUGAAACUUAAAGGAAUUGACGGAAGGGCACCACCAGGAGUGGAGCCUGCGGCUUAAUUUGACUCAACACGGGGAACCUGACCAGGCCCGGACACCAGAAGGAUUGACAGAUUAAGAGCUCUUUCUCGAUUUGGUGGGUGGUGGUGCAUGGCCGUUCUU
rnacentral:rRNA from 1 species